rnacentral:rRNA from 1 species
AAGCGCACAGCUUCGCAUGGAGGAGUGUGAAAAGUUAUUUCGGUACAAGAUGGACCCGCGUCUGAUUAGCUAGUUGGUGAGGUAACGGCUCACCAAGGCGACGAUCAGUAGCCGACCUGAGAGGGUGACCGGCCACAUUGGGACUGAGACACGGCCCAAACUCCUACGGGAGGCAGCAGUGGGGAAUAUUGCACAAUGGGCGAAAGCCUGAUGCAGCGACGCCGCGUGAGCGAAGAAGUAUUUCGGUAUGUAAAGCUCUAUCAGCAGGGAAGAUAAUGACGGUACCUGACUGAGAAGCACCGGCUAAAUACGUGCCAGCAGCCGCGGUAAUACGUAUGGUGCAAGCGUUAUCCGGAUUUACUGGGUGUAAAGGGAGCGUAGGCGGUUUUACAAGUCUGAUGUGAAAGCCCGCAGCUCAACUGCGGUAUUGCAUUGGAACCUGUAGAACUAGAGUGUCGGAGGGGUAAGUGGAAUUCCUAGUGUAGCGGUGAAAUGCGUAGAUAUUAGGAGGAACACCAGUGGCGAAGGCGGCUUACUGGACGAUUACUGACGCUGAGGCUCGAAAGCGUGGGGAGCAAAC